rnacentral:rRNA from 1 species
UACGUAGGGUGCAAGCGUUGUCCGGAAUUAUUGGGCGUAAAGAGCUCGUAGGCGGUCUGUCGCGUCGAAUGUGAAAACCCGGGGCUCAACCCCGGGCCUGCAUUCGAUACGGGCAGACUAGAGUUCGGUAGGGGAGUCUGGAAUUCCUGGCGUAGCGGUGAAAUGCGCAGAUAUCAGGAGGAACACCGGUGGCGAAGGCGGGACUCUGGGCCGAUACUGACGCUGAGGAGCGAAAGCGUGGGGAGCGAACAGG